GUUUUCAAAAUAAGGAUGAGAUUAUAAAGUUAAUUAAACUUUUCUUUUGUGAUGAUUUUCACAAUAAAGAUGAGAAAAUAAUAAAGUUGAUAUACAUUUUUUUUUGUGAUGGAUUUUACAAUAAAGAAGAAAAAUGAUACAUAAAUUGAUUUAUGGUUCAUGAGAGUCAUAAAUGAUGUCUAUUGUGAGUAUGGACUCACCAUGAGGAUUAGAUUAUGAAGGACUGACAAAAGAAUGAUACAUAUAUGAAAUAUCAUUCAGUUUGCUGCACUAUCACAUGAAACUCAUGUUAAUGAAGAUGAACGUAAUAUGAUCCGCAGACGUUUCUAUGUUGCACAUUUAGACAUAACGACGAUGUAAUUCAUUAUUGUAGUCUAUGUGUGACCGAGUGUAGACUUGAAAGGAAAAGAAAAGAAAAAAUAAAAAUAAACAAAGCAUGCAUUAAAGAUUGUUUAUAUGGUUGAAUAAAGGUUAAUAUAUGUGUAGUAGAUCAAGUGGGAGAAUGUUAGCAAUAUCUCUUGUUAUCUUAUCAAGUAAACGAUCUACACGUACAUAUUAACAAUGACAAGUCUUAAGUUAUUUAAGUGAUUAUAAAUUCAUGUGGAUACAUUAGUGUAGGUCACGAUAAGGCAAGAUGAUUUAUGAUGAUAGUGAUCUCUUGACCUAAGUCAUAAAGAGUAAAAAAGACUAAGUCCUUAUUGGAGCCUAAACAGGACCUCCUCAUAUUAAAGUAUCAAUAUAUGGAUCAAUGUGUAAAUAACACAUUGAUUUGAUAUAAAUAAGAUAUGAGGGUUAAAGAAACAUCAUCUAUUCUAUUUAGUCCAAAAUAAGACAUUCAAUAUUAGAGACGAGUCUCAGGAAUCCCAAAAGAGGAAAUUUCGAUCAGAAGAAAGGCAAAAGAAAUAUACAGAGAUCAAGUCUGUACUUUCGCUGUAAUGAAUUCAACACAAGAUACGUUUGAAUCUGUAAAUACAUUAUAUUCUUGAUAUAGAAAUCUUAGAUCAUAAAGUAUGAUAAUUUCUAUGAGGGGGAUGUUAAAAUAUAUGAUUAUAUUGUGAGUUGUCAAU
rnacentral:lncRNA from 1 species